rnacentral:rRNA from 1 species
GACGAACGCUGGCGGCGCGCUUAACACAUGCAAGUCGUGCGGUGUCGAAGGCAAGUCUUACGACAAGCCUUCGACACAGCGGCGAACGGGUGAGUAACACGUGAGUAGCUGUCCUAAGGAGGGGGAUAACGCCUGGAAACGGGUGCUAAUACCCCAUAUGCCUCGCAAGAGGUGAAAGUGUACUUGCUACAGCCUUAGGGUGUGCUCGCGGCCUAUCAGCUAGUUGGUGAGGUAACGGCUCACCAAGGCUAAGACGGGUAGCCGGCCUGAGAGGGUGUACGGCCACACUGGAAUUGAGAUACGGUCCAGACUCCUACGGGAGGCAGCAGUGGGGAAUCUUGGGCAAUGGGCGGCAGCCUGAACCAGCCAUCCCGCGUGAAGGAAGAAUGCGCUAUGCGUUGUAAACUUCUUUUCCAGGAGAAUAAAAUGCCAUACGUGUAUGGUACUGAAGGUAUCCUGGGAAUAAGCAUCGGCUAACUCCGUGCCAGCAGACCCGG